UACGUAGGGCGCAAGCGUUGUCCGGAAUUAUUGGGCGUAAAGAGCUCGUAGGCGGUUUGUCGCGUCUGCUGUGAAAACCUAAGGCUCAACCUUGGGCUUGCAGUGGGUACGGGCAGACUAGAGUGCGGUAGGGGUGACUGGAAUUCCUGGUGUAGCGGUGGAAUGCGCAGAUAUCAGGAGGAACACCGAUGGCGAAGGCAGGUCGCUGGGACGUUACUGACACUGAGGCGCGAAAGCGUGGGGAGCGAACAGG
rnacentral:rRNA from 1 species